GGAGAUAACUAUGGCAGCCCCUUCAAUGGAAGGGAGGGGCUGUGGAAUGUUGUGAAAGUAGGAAAAAAGACUGAUGAUCAUCUGAUAUAAAAUUAUGAAGAAGUGGUCCAUGUUGCCCAGAGACCAGAAGGCGUGCACAGCCCCACCUGCUCGCAGCAGGCAGGGUUAUCAGGCAGAUGACGCAGUAACCAGAGGACAGCAAGUGCCUCUGCCGCAGAUUAUGGAAGCUACAGGUCCAAGAUCAAAGUAUUGAUUGGAUUCUGCUGAAGGCCACCUACAAGCAAGCAGGACAGGAAAUUCAGGCCAGACUAAGAGCCAGAAAGUCCUGACGGAUCGUUACUUCCUGGCUGGUGUUCUGUGAUAUUUGCAGGAGGUGUCUGUGUUGGAGGGUGAAGUCGAGCCCCGACAGCUCCAGCCACCAAGAUGCUUCCCUGAAUUCAGUGACCUUCAGAAGAGCUGGUGAGGAAGUGGAGACGUGGGAGCUCUUGGACACCACUGGUGGGAAUGCACAUCAGUGCAGCCACUAUGGAAAACAGGAUGGAGGCUCUCAAAAAGAAACAAGUAUGUGUUACACAGUGUUCAGGAAACUUCUUAUCAGUCUAAUUAGGAGCCCAUUCCUGAGUUACUUUCAGAAUCUGGCUACAAAUGAAAAAGUCUUUGGUAAAGCAUCCAUUUGCAGUGGAGAACUUAAAAAAAAGAAGAUGCUUAGAGCGAGACUAAGCCAAGAAAAUCAAUGCUCGGGUAGAGGUCAGUUGAUUCUUAACUAAUGCAGUCAUCUGGGCGAGCAGGUAACUGGUUUGCUUAAGCGGUUAAUUCCAUGAAAGUCCAGCAGAAAGCACUUCAGUGUUUCAUCUGGAAUGCUCAUUUCUUUGCAGAAAGAGGUCGUGACUUCACCACACUCAGGAUUCUGUCCAGACGAGGCUUGGGACAAUUUUCCCUUUAUAACUGCAAGCAGAACGCAAAGGGCUAAGACAAAAUACUUACACUUUAGCCAGUCAACAAAGCUCAAGUUUUUCUCUUAUUUUCUAUUUCUUUAAUUUUUUUUAACUUUAUAACACAUUAACGGUUCCCACUCUGCGGCAUGAAAACACUGUGGACCAUGUACCCGGCGCCAGAGGCCAAGUCAUGCCGGAAGCGCCGCUUUACAACGUGAGUUACUUGCAAGAAUGAGCCGACUGGAAAUUAGUAUGGUGCUUUACCCUGGAUGCCUUCAUUUAAAUGCUUGUUGUUACUUGCCAAGGUCAAAAUGUUUUCUAGGAAACACAGCUGUAAUUUUAUAGUAAGAGCCCAUAUUAAAA